rnacentral:rRNA from 1 species
GAUGAACGCUGGCGGCGUGCCUAACACAUGCAAGUCGAGCGAUUCUCUUCGGAGAAGAGCGGCGGACGGGUGAGUAACGCGUGGGUAACCUGCCCUGUACACACGGAUAACAUACCGAAAGGUAUGCUAAUACGGGAUAACAUAAGAGAGUCGCAUGGCUUUCUUAUCAAAGCUCCGGCGGUACAGGAUGGACCCGCGUCUGAUUAGCUAGUUGGUGAGGUAAUGGCUCACCAAGGCGACGAUCAGUAGCCGACCUGAGAGGGUGAUCGGCCACAUUGGAACUGAGACACGGUCCAAACUCCUACGGGAGGCAGCAGUGGGGAAUAUUGCACAAUGGGCGAAAGCCUGAUGCAGCAACGCCGCGUGAGCGAUGAAGGCCUUCGGGUCGUAAAGCUCUGUCCUCAAGGAAGAUAAUGACGGUACUUGAGGAGGAAGCCCCGGCUAACUACGUGCCAGCAGCCGCGGUAAUACGUAGGGGGCUAGCGUUAUCCGGAAUUACUGGGCGUAAAGGGUGCGUAGGUGGUUUCUUAAGUCAGAGGUGAAAGGCUACGGCUCAACCGUAGUAAGCCUUUGAAACUGAGAAACUUGAGUGCAGGAGAGGAGAGUAGAAUUCCUAGUGUAGCGGUGAAAUGCGUAGAUAUUAGGAGGAAUACCAGUUGCGAAGGCGGCUCUCUGGACUGUAACUGACACUGAGGCACGAAAGCGUGGGGAGCAAACAGGAUUAGAUACCCUGGUAGUCCACGCCGUAAACGAUGAGUACUAGCUGUCGGAGGUUACCCCCUUCGGUGGCGCAGCUAACGCAUUAAGUACUCCGCCUGGGAAGUACGCUCGCAAGAGUGAAACUCAAAGGAAUUGACGGGGACCCGCACAAGUAGCGGAGCAUGUGGUUUAAUUCGAAGCAACGCGAAGAACCUUACCUAAGCUUGACAUCCUUUUGACCUCUCCCUAAUCGGAGAUUUCCCUUCGGGGACAGAAGUGACAGGUGGUGCAUGGUUGUCGUCAGCUCGUGUCGUGAGAUGUUGGGUUAAGUCCCGCAACGAGCGCAACCCUUGCCUUUAGUUGCCAGCAUUAAGUUGGGCACUCUAGAGGGACUGCCAGGGAUAACCUGGAGGAAGGUGGGGAUGACGUCAAAUCAUCAUGCCCCUUAUGCUUAGGGCUACACACGUGCUACAAUGGGUGGUACAGAGGGUUGCCAAACCGUGAGGUGGAGCUAAUCCCUUAAAGCCAUUCUCAGUUCGGAUUGUAGGCUGAAACUCGCCUACAUGAAGCUGGAGUUACUAGUAAUCGCAGAUCAGAAUGCUGCGGUGAAUGCGUUCCCGGGUCUUGUACACACCGCCCGUCACACCACGGGAGUUGGGGGCGCCCGAAGCCAGAUAGCUAACCUUUUGGAAGCGUCUGUCGAAGGUGAAAUCAAUAACUGGGGUGAAGUCGUAACAAGGUAGCCGUAUCGGAAGGUGCGGCUGGAUCACCUCCUUUCUAAGGAGAAUUACCUACUGUUUAAUUUUGAGGGUUCAUUGUAAAAUGAAUACUCAACAGAGUAUAGUACUUUGAAAACUGCAUAACAUUUAGUGAUAUGACAUCAUUUUAUAUAUAGACAAUAUAAGUCUUUAAAAUAUAAUUGAGAAGAUAAUCUCUUUAAAAAAUCAAACUUUAAUAACUUGGUCAAGUUAUUAAGGGUGCAGGGCGGAUGCCUUGGCACUAGGAGCCGAUGAAGGACGUGAUAAGCUGCGAUAAGCUUCGGGGAGUUGCACGUAAACUUUGAUCCGAAGAUUUCCGAAUGAGGAAACUCACUUAGAGUAAUGUCUAAGUAUCGUUAAGUGAAUACAUAGCUUAGCGAGGGGAACCCGGGGAACUGAAACAUCUAAGUACCCGGAGGAAAAGAAAGAAAUUCGAUUCCGUAAGUAGCGGCGAGCGAACGCGGAACAGGCCAAACCAAUGAAGUUUUCUUUGUUGGGGUUGCGGACAUGUCAUUGACGAAGAGGUCAUUGUAGAUGAAGAGAGUUGGAAAGCUCCGCCAAAGAAGGUAAUAGCCCUGUAGUUGAAACAAUAAUUCUUUAGACAUGAUCCAGAGUACCACGGGACACGUGAAACCCUGUGGGAAGCAGGAGGGACCAUCCUCCAAGCCUAAAUACUACCUAGUGACCGAUAGCGCAU